CACAGGAGGAACAUGAAUAGCGUAAGCAAAUACAGUUCCACCGUUGGUCCCAGCCCACAGCGACGGCUCAUGAUUACACACAAGAGAUGAGCAAAAUAAAAAUCAAGAUAUUGGAGAAAAACUUGACAUUAUUAGAGACUGUCUGCCCACAUUAUGGAAACAAGUGGCUUUGUGUCCCACUAAAUAUGGACCUUCUGAAAUAUCAGACUCCACCGACAUACAGAUAUACAGGUUAAACAAGUUGUAUAACAUUUCCCUCACCAUCUCUUACGAAGGAAUCUGCAAAAUAAAGCGAUCGGACAAAUCCGGUGAAGGAGUCAUCAGCAGAUCGAGCCUCAAUCCUGCGCUGCACUGGGGCUAGCUCCAUUUCAUUCAACGCUUCCCGAUCCAGCCUGGCAUUGGCCUCCUGUACCUGGAGGCAGAAAAUGAUCCAUUUCACGAGAAGUGGACAGAACUGGGAACAAAUCACUUAGAAAAGUGUUACAAUGUCUUAUUUAAGUAAAAUAUGCUUUACUAGUCAUGUCUUUUGAAAGAUGAAUGUUAGGUAAUAUUGAGGAAGCGAAUCGGUGUGUCCUUUAUAGCAAGGAGAAUCGAGUGCACAAGAAAACCUGCAAUAUUGGGCAGUUUUGUUAUUUGUACUAAGCAUCAGAACUAGAACAGAGCAUCACCAGAACAGUCCAGGGUGAGGUGCUUGUUUUACAGGAAGUAAAGUGAGCUUGCUUAUGCUCACUAGAGUUAAGAGAAAAUCUAAUUGAAACAUAAAUCUUAGAGAUUGACAGGGUUACAUUAAGCGUGUAAUUCUAUGUCAGACAGAAGGAGAGAUUCUUUACCUUAGAGGCCUAUAGAUGCCAGACAUUUAGAUAGAAUUAAGUCUGAAAUUGGUAUUCAAGGAACUAAGGGGAUCAAGAGAUAAUGGAGAUAAUCAGCCCAUCAAGUCUAUACUAGUUCUCAGAGCAAUUCUAUUCUCCCCUUAUCUCCCUGUAGCCAGUUCUCAAUCAAUCACCUCCACCUUGAUAUGGAAUGGGGCGAGAAGUUGGAUGCUGGAUAACAAAACUGAGGCCUAUGGAAUUAAAAGGGUCACUGACGGAACAGAUAGGAAAUGUGUUAAAUGACAGGACAAAUGCUCGAAGUAAACAACGUUAUGCCAGCACAUUGGCGUUUCAGAUUUUCUGCAUUCGUCCUUUGCUCAUUCAUCUUGUCAAGUCUGAUCAAUUGCAAUUUUUAUAUUUUCAAAAUAAACUUAAUUCAUAAUAAAAAAUAUGCAAUGAAACUGUGAACCAUUCUUAAUACAUUCGUAUCUAUACAUUCAAUAUUGCUAGUGUUAUACCAAGUAGUAUUAGCACCUCCCUUCUCCCCUCACAUACGGCACCAUCAGAUGCAAGACUCAUUAGCCUAUCUCCCACCUCUUAAUCUUCACCCCUUCUCUGCAACUCUUCACAGCUCAUGACCAUGGAUGGGAAACAUUUAAUGCACAGUUACUGUCCGAUUAGUAUUUCCAGAAUGUUGUAUUAUUUCUAUUUUAUUUUAUUAAACCAAGAUCGUGAACCAUUGAUUUUCCCCCCCCACCACACCGGGGAUGCUUAAUGCUCAUUUAAAAUAGAUAGAUUUUUAGUGGUAAUCAAGAAACAGAAUAAAAAGUGUACGUAAGAUACAAAACAGGCUCUGAUAUUGAAUGGAACAGGAUUCAACAGCGUUACAGAUUAUUCCUUUUAUUUAUGGCGCACCCUUGGUACAGGGUGAGGUUUACAUUGAAGUUGUGCACAUUUAACAGAGCAUCAAAUGCAGCAUCUCCUCACAUCCCAGCACAAACGUACUCCCGUGCCAUUGCAACCCCUCGCAUACUAAGCACAUCCCAAAUACACAACCCUCUUGUUCCCUCAGAUACAUGCACAUCUCCCACCCUCAAGCCCAAUCAAACAUGCAGACCUCAUCUAACCUUAGCUGCACCAUUCCCUGGCACGGUUCGUUUCCUUCCAGACACUCUAGUCCCCCGGAUCCGACGGAAGGACUGUCGCAGUGAUUUCUUAAUCGACUUUACUCGUGACAGGGGCCCUUCAAGUGCCAAUUGGUCACUGGGGUGCAAUGUACAUCUACAUGUUCGAAGGAGAUUUAUGGAGGGAGAUUUAAAAAAAAAAAA